rnacentral:rRNA from 1 species
AUGCUUGGAGGGACAGAAGUUUCAGGAGAAAUUGUCUCUUUUCGAGAAUCUGGUACACUCGAAUUGUAUUAUUUAAGUGCUUAUUGCUUGCCAAAAAUCCUACUUCUACAAUUGGUAGGUCAUCGGUUUAUUCAAAUAAGUCGUGUUUUCUGUGCUUUUUCCAUGUUACAACUUCCGUACCAAUUCGAUCGAUCCGGAAUGGAUCGGUUAAACAAACGUCUUUUCCGUUUUCUCAAAAUAAAAAACGUAAGGGUAUCUUUGUCGUUUUUCAUCUGA